rnacentral:rRNA from 1 species
GAAACACGGACCAAGGAGUCUAGCAUGUGCGCGAGUCAUUGGGACUAUAAUUAAACCUAAAGGCGCAAUGAAAGUGAAGGUCCGCCUAGCGCGGACCUAGGGAAGACGGGCCGUCCGCGGACGCGCCCCGCACUCCCGGGGCGUCUCGUUCUCAUCGCGAGAAGAGGCGCACCUAGAGCGUACACGCUGGGACCCGAAAGAUGGUGAACUAUGCCUGGUCAGGACGAAGUCAGGGGAAACCCUGAUGGAGGUCCGUAGCGAUUCUGACGUGCAAAUCGAUCGUCGGAACUGGGUAUAGGGGCGAAAGACUAAUCGAACCUUCUAGUAGCUGG